rnacentral:tRNA from 1 species
GGACAGUUAGCUCAGUUGGUAGAGCAUCAGCUCGACACGCUGGUGGUCACAAGUUCAAGUCUUGUACUGUCCACCA